AUUGAACGCUGGCGGCAUGCUUUACACAUGCAAGUCGAACGGCAACAGGCCGCAAGGUGCUGACGAGUGGCGAACGGGUGAGUAAUGCAUCGGAACGUGCCCAGUCGUGGGGGAUAACGCAGCGAAAGCUGCGCUAAUACCUCAUACGAUCUCUGGAUGAAAGCGGGGGACCGAAAGGCCUCGCGCGAUUGGAGCGGCUGAUGUCAGAUUAGGUAGUGGGUGGGGUAAAGGCCCACCAAGCAAACGAUCUGUAGCUGGUCUGAGAGGACGACCAGCCACACUGGGACUGAGACACGGCCCAGACUCCUACGGGAGGCAGCAGUGGGGAAUUUUGGACAAUGGGCGCAAGCCUGAUCCAGCAAUGCCGCGUGCAGGAAGAAGGCCUUCGGGUUGUAAACUGCUUUUGUACGGAACGAAACGGUCCGGGUUAAUACCCUGGGCUAAUGACGGUACCGUAAGAAUAAGCACCGGCUAACUACGUGCCAGCCGCCGCCGUAA
rnacentral:rRNA from 1 species